GAACUCCAAAUAGACUGGAU
rnacentral:piRNA from 1 species